UUGAUUGACGGUGCUUGCACCUGAUUGAUUUUGGUCGCCAACGAGUGGCGGACGGGUGAGUAACACGUAGGUAACCUGCCCAGAAGCGGGGGACAACAUUUGGAAACAGAUGCUAAUACCGCAUAACAGCGUUGUUCGCAUGAACAACGCUUAAAAGAUGGCUUCUCGCUAUCACUUCUGGAUGGACCUGCGGUGCAUUAGCUUGUUGGUGGGGUAACGGCCUACCAAGGCGAUGAUGCAUAGCCGAGUUGAGAGACUGAUCGGCCACAAUGGGACUGAGACACGGCCCAUACUCCUACGGGAGGCAGCAGUAGGGAAUCUUCCACAAUGGGCGCAAGCCUGAUGGAGCAACACCGCGUGAGUGAAGAAGGGUUUCGGCUCGUAAAGCUCUGUUGUUAAAGAAGAACACGUAUGAGAGUAACUGUUCAUACGUUGACGGUAUUUAACCAGAAAGUCACGGCUAACUACGUGCCAGCAGCCGCGGUAAUACGUAGGUGGCAAGCGUUAUCCGGAUUUAUUGGGCGUAAAGAGAGUGCAGGCGGUUUUCUAAGUCUGAUGUGAAAGCCUUCGGCUUAACCGGAGAAGUGCAUCGGAAACUGGAUAACUUGAGUGCAGAAGAGGGUAGUGGAACUCCAUGUGUAGCGGUGGAAUGCGUAGAUAUAUGGAAGAACACCAGUGGCGAAGGCGGCUACCUGGUCUGCAACUGACGCUGAGACUCGAAAGCAUGGGUAGCGAACAGGAUUAGAUACCCUGGUAGUCCAUGCCGUAAACGAUGAGUGCUAGGUGUUGGAGGGUUUCCGCCCUUCAGUGCCGGAGCUAACGCAUUAAGCACUCCGCCUGGGGAGUACGACCGCAAGGUUGAAACUCAAAGGAAUUGACGGGGGCCCGCACAAGCGGUGGAGCAUGUGGUUUAAUUCGAAGCUACGCGAAGAACCUUACCAGGUCUUGACAUCUUGCGCCACCCUAGAGAUAGGGCGUUUCCUUCGGGAACGCAAUGACAGGUGGUGCAUGGUCGUCGUCAGCUCGUGUCGUGAGAUGUUGGGUUAAGUCCCGCAACGAGCGCAACCCUUGUUACUAGUUGCCAGCAUUAAGUUGGGCACUCUAGUGAGACUGCCGGUGACAAACCGGAGGAAGGUGGGGACGACGUCAGAUCAUCAUGCCCCUUAUGACCUGGGCUACACACGUGCUACAAUGGACGGUACAACGAGUCGCGAACUCGCGAGGGCAAGCAAAUCUCUUAAAACCGUUCUCAGUUCGGACUGCAGGCUGCAACUCGCCUGCACGAAGUCGGAAUCGCUAGUAAUCGCGGAUCAGCAUGCCGCGGUGAAUACGUUCCCGGGCCUUGUACACACCGCCCGUCACACCAUGAGAGUUUGUAACACCCAAAGUCGGUGGGGUAAC
rnacentral:rRNA from 2 species